CCUACGGGAGGCAGCAGUGGGGAAUAUUGCACAAUGGGGGGAACCCUGAUGCAGCGACGCCGCGUGGGUGAAGGAGUAUUUCGGUAUGUAAAGCCCUAUCAGCAGGGAAGAACAAUCACGGUACCUGACUAAGACGCACCGGCUAAAUACGUGCCAGCAGCCGCGGUUAUACGGAUGGUGCAAGCGUUAUUCGGAUGUACUGGGGGUAAAGGGAUCGCAGGCGGCGCGUUAAGCCUGGUGUGAAAGCCCGCGGCCCAACCUCGGGACUGCAUGGGGAACUGGCGCGCUGGAGUGCCGGAGGGGUAGGCGGAAUUCCAAGUGUAGCAGUGAAAUGCGUAGAUAUUAGGAGGAACACCAGUGGCGAAGGCGGCCAACUGGAAGGUGACUGACGCUGAGGCUCGAAAGCGUGGGGAGCAAACAGGAUCAGAUACCCUGGUAGUC
rnacentral:rRNA from 1 species